GUACCCUCCAGCCCUGCUGGGUGUUGGGCGUUUUGUUCCGCUGCGUGCGUGAACUCGCCUCAAAUGUAUUGGCAGCCCGCCGUCCCGUGUGGGAGCGCAGCACAUUUUGCGCUCUCCACUGCUGACGGUGGCAUCCAUAAGUCUACUAUUUUAC
rnacentral:misc_RNA from 1 species